CAGUCGCCGCGGUAAUACAGAGGGUGCAAGCGUUAAUCGGAAUUACUGGGCGUAAAGCGCGCGUAGGUGGUUCGCCAAGUUGGAUGUGAAAUCCCCGGGCUCAACCUGGGAACUGCGUCCAAAACUGGCGAGUUAGAGUAUGGUAGAGGGUGGUGGAAUUUCCUGUGUAGCGGUGAAAUGCGUAGAUAUAGGAAGGAACAUCAGUGGCGAAGGCGACCACCUGGACUGAUACUGACGCUCAUGCACGAAAGCGUGGGGAGCAAACAGGAUUAGAUACCCCCGUAGUCCCUGUCUCUUAUAU
rnacentral:rRNA from 1 species